rnacentral:rRNA from 1 species
AUUGAACGCUGGCGGCAGGCCUAACACAUGCAAGUCGAACGAGUGGCGGACGGGUGAGUAAUGUCUGGGAAACUGCCUGAUGGAGGGGGAUAACUACUGGAAACGGUAGCUAAUACCGCAUACCAUCAGAUGUGCCCAGAUGUGAUUAGCUUGUUGGUGGGGUAACGCCUCACCAAGGCGACGAUCCCUAGCUGGUCUGAGAGGAUGACCAGCCACACUGGAACUUGGAGACGGUCCAGACUCGUACGGGGGGCAGCGGUGGGAAAUAUUGCACAAUGGGCGCAAGCCUGGUGCAGCCAUGCCGCGUGUAUGAAGAAGGCCUUCGGGUUGUAAAGUACUUUCAGCGGGGAGGCGUUACCCGCAGAAGAAGCACCGGCUAACUCCGUGCCAGCAGCCGCGGUAAAC